rnacentral:rRNA from 1 species
CGAACGCGGGCGGCGUGCUUAACACAUGCAAUUCGAACGGUGAAGCGCCUUCCUUUUUGGUGGGUGUGGAUGAGUGGCGAACGGGUGAGUAACACGUGAGUAACCUGCCCCCUUCUUCUGGAUAACCGCAUGAAAGUGUGGCUAAUACGGGAUAUUCUGGGUCUGUCGCAUGAUGGGUCUGGGAAAGAUAUUGUUUCGGUGGGGGAUGGGCUCGCGGCCUAUCAGCUUGUUGGUUGGGUGAUGGCCUACCAAGGCGGUGACGGGUAGCCGGCCUGAGAGGGUGGACGGUCACACUGGGACUGAGACACGGCCCAGACUCCUACGGGAGGCAGCAGUGGGGAAUAUUGCACAAUGGGCGCAAGACUGAUGCAGCGACGCCGCGUGAGGGAUGGAGGCCUUCGGGUUGUGAACCUCUUUCGCCAGUGAAGCAGGCCUGCCUCGUUUGUGGGUGGGUUGACGGUAGCUGGAUAAGAAGCGCCGGCUAACUACGUG